GGCGGUGCAGAGAGCUACCUGUCCUUCAGCUGCCCAAGACCAUACUUCUGCUUAGGCUGGAAGCCCAAGAUCAAGGUGCCAGCAGGAUUGGCUUAUGGUGAGACCUCUUUCUUUGGCUUGGAGAUGACACCUUCUUUCUGUGUCCUCACAUGGACUCUUCUCUGGCAUAAGAAUAUGAGACAAGCAGCCACUGGCCCCUAAUGAGGAGAUUCAUGAAGACCUUAACCCAGCCUUCAGUCUGGAGCCUCCUUGAGCCUAGAUGGGCUAAGCUGAACCCCAGCCAACCUGCAGGCUCACAAGUAUGAAAAAUAAAUGUUUGUGAUGGUAAGCCAGUGAGAGUUGGGACUAUUACCCAGCCUUAUUGCAAUGGAAGCCUUGUUCAUACAGCGUUCCAGAGAGGACUUCUAUAAUCUCCUGCCUCAGACAUAAUUAAGGUAAGGAUCAAGACGAGAUCACACUGGAAAAGGUGGGCCCUAAAUCCAGUGAGAGGAUAGGAAGGCCAGCACUCUUAUUCUGUCCUAAUAAGAGACAGAGACGGGCACACAGAGACACAGAAGAAGGCCAUGUGUUGAUGGAGGCAGAGACUGGAGUGAUGCCGUCCCAAGCCAGGGAGUGCCUGGCUCCGCCAGGCACUGGAAGAGGCACUGAAUGGAUGCUUCUCGAGAGCCUUUGGAGGGAGCAUGACCCUGCUGACACCUUGAUUUUGCACUUCUGGCUUCUGGAACUAUGAGAGGGAGUCCUCUGUGGUAAACUGGUGGAGUCCAAAGCAAUUGUGUUUGACAAAUAAAACCGAAUGAUCUGGGUGAUGAAAACGUAAUAGCAAAAGACCAAUCCUGAAGAAUCCUCAGGGCCCGGGUGAGGAGGGAGGUGAAGCUCCAGCUCUGCUGUACCUAAAGUCUGACAAAUAAAAGUCCUGAGAAUGGAGGAGGUCUGG
rnacentral:lncRNA from 10 species